rnacentral:rRNA from 1 species
GAUGAACGCUGGCGGCGUGCCUAAUACAUGCAAGUCGAGCGAACAGACGAGGAGCUUGCUCCUCUGACGUUAGCGGCGGACGGGUGAGUAACACGUGGAUAACCUACCUAUAAGACUGGGAUAACUUCGGGAAACCGGAGCUAAUACCGGAUAAUAUAUUGAACCGCAUGGUUCAAUAGUGAAAGACGGUUUUGCUUUCACUUAUAGAUGUAUCCGCGCCGCAUUAGCUAGUUGGUAAGGUAACGGCUUACCAAGGCAACGAUGCUUAGCCGACCUGAGAGGGUGAUCGGCCAAACUGGAACUGAGACACGGUCCAGACUCCUACGGGAGGCAGCAGUAGGGAAUCUUCCGCAAUGGGCGAAAGCUUGACGGAGCAACGCCGCGUGAGUGAUGAAGGUCUUCGGAUCGUAAAACUCUGUUAUUAGGGAAGAACAAAUGUGUAAGUAACUAUGCACGUCUUGACGGUACCUAAUCAGAAAGCCACGGCUAACUACGUG